rnacentral:rRNA from 1 species
AUAGCGUAUAUUAAAGUUGUUGCAGUUAAAAAGCUCGUAGUUGGACUUCUGGGUUGGCCUGGUGGUCCGCCGCAAGGCGAGCACUACUGGGUUGGCCCUUCCUCUCGAAGGCUGCAGGUGCUCUUAACUGAGUGUUUGUAGAACUCGGGAUCUUUACUUUGAAAAAAUUAGAGUGUUCAAAGCAGGCUUACGCUUGAAUACAUUAGCAUGGAAUAAUGGAAUAGGACUUUGGUUCUAUUUUGUUGGUUUCUAGAACUGAAGUAAUGAUUAAUAGGGAUAGUUGGGGGCAUUAGUAUUUAAUUGUCAGAGGUGAAAUUCUUGGAUUUAUGAAAGACUAACUUCUG